rnacentral:rRNA from 1 species
AUUGAACGCUGGCGGCAUGCUUUACACAUGCAAGUCGAACGGCAGCGCGGGCUUCGGCCUGGCGGCGAGUGGCGAACGGGGGAGUAAUACAUCUGAACGUGCCCAGUAGUGGGGGAUAGCUCGGCGAAAGCCGGAUUAAUACCGCAUACGACCUGCGGGUGAAAGCGGGGGAUCUUCGGACCUCGCGCUCUUGGAGCGGCCGAUGGCAGAUUAGCUAGUUGGUGGGGUAAAGGCCUACCAAGGCGACGAUCUGUAGCUGGUCUGAGAGGACGACAAGCCACACGGGGACUGAGCCACGGCCCAGACUCCUACGGGAGGCAGCAGUGGGGAAUGUUGGACAAUGGGCGAAAGCCUGAUCCAGCAAUGCCGCGUGUGUGAUGAAGGCCUUCGGGUUGUAAAGCACUUUUGGCGGGAACGAAAAGGACUGUGCCAAUACCACGGUUGGAUGACGGUACCCGCAGAAUAAGCACCGGCUAACUACGUG